CUUGCUCCAGUGAUGAGACCUCUACCGCCCCAGUCUGAUUUCUGUGACUGAGUGGUUCACUCUGAGUCCAG